GACAACCUUGGUGGCAGCACUUACUUUUAGCCUGUGUGGCAGAACUUAUUAUUUAGUCUGUGUGGCAGAUUUUCUUAUCCGGAUCAUUGUCUCAUAUAGGAUUGUCUUAGUUGCAUUGCAUUGCAUAUAAAGAGGAAGAAAAUUAACAAUAGUAGAUAAUUAUCCUGGGCAUAAAAGAACCAACGUAAAAAGGAAGAAAAAGUAUAGUUAGUCUAUGGUAAAGCGGUGAUCGUUGCCUUCUCCUCUUUCAUUUGAUUUUGUGGUGCAAUUUGUAAUAUGUGUAAUUAUGUUGCUUUGUUUAUUACUGCCGUUUAACAAUUAUAUGAUGCCUAUGUUUGUAUAUAUGUAUC
rnacentral:lncRNA from 1 species